rnacentral:lncRNA from 1 species
CACAUGGCCCUCACACACCUUAAAGAUGCUUAUCUCCUCCAUCUGCACAACCAUCUAUGGAUGGACAAACCUCGUAAGGCACGCUACUGCAUGUACAGAUGUGGAAACAUUUUACAGAUGUGAAAACAGAGGCGCAGAGAGAAAGUGACUCGGUAGUACACUUCUUUCGGGACAUCUAUCAAUCUUAAAACCUCCUGGCUGGGUGUAGUGCUCAUGAUUGUAAUCCCAGCACUUAGGGAGGCCAAGGCGGGAGGAUCACUUGAGGUCAGGAGUUUGCGACCAGCCUGGCAAGCAUAGCGAAACCUCUCUCCACUAAAAAUACAAAAAUUGGCCAAGCACAGUGGCUCAUACCUGUAAUCCCAGCACUUUGGGAGGCCGAGGCUGGUGGAUCAUUUGAGAUCAGGAGUUUGAGACUAGCCUGGCCAACAGGGUGAAACUCUGUCUCUACCAAAAAAAAAAAAAAAAGUAGCCAGGCAUGGUGGCACUAAUCCCAGCUACUCGAGAGGCUGAGGCAGGAGAAUCACUUGAACCUGGGAGGCGGAGGUUGCGGUGAGCCAAGAUUGCACUACUGCACUCCGGCCUGGGCAACAGAGCGAGACUCUGUCUAAAAAAAAAAAAAAAAUUAGCUGGGCACAGUGGUACACUCCUGUAGUCCCAGCUACUCAGGAGGCUGAGACAAGAGAAUUGCUUGAACCCAGGAGGCGGAGGCAGCAGUGAGACAAAAUUGUGACACUGCAUUCCAGUCUGGGCGACAGAGCAAGACUCUGUCUCAAAAAAAAAAAAACAAGACAAGACAAAAAAAAAACCUUCCCUUUCUCUGAGAACUUUCUUCAAACCCAUGGGUAAAGGAUCCAAUAUCCAUGUUUCUACUACAUGAGGUAUUGCAAGCUCCUGCAAACAGUUCUUGGCUUGGAGGUGACCAUGUAGCCCAAUUCAGGAUUACUGAGAGGCAGUCUGGAGCUGUGGCAGCCAUCUUGCCCCCGUGAGGGGAGAGCCUGCUUGAGAAUGGAGCCAAUAUGGAGGAAGGCAGAGAGAGAGAGAGAACGAUGGCGGGAGAUCAGACCCUGCCUACGGGAUCCAGCUACAUGUCUGGCCUUCUCAGUUCCAGAAACCAAUGCAUUUCCUGUUGGAUUUCUGUCUCUUAUACCCUCAAUGAUCCACCCUUAACUAGACAGCCUCCUACCCUACAGUAGCCAUCUACAUGCCUUUCUCCAAAAUCAUGACUCCUCCAAGAAAAAGCCCAUCUCAGACAACCAAGACCAUGGCUCUUAGGAUCCCACCGAGCUGUACCUCAAAGAUCUCAAAUCCAGCUAUAUCCAGGAUCCCCAGGAAGGAAGCCCCUUGCCGAUGGGUCUUGUCCAGGGCUUUGUUCACGCGGGUGAGUAUCCAGCGGAAAAGGCGCUCAUAUGUUGCCUUGGCCAAAGCCUCUACAGCAAAGUCAGCCUGCAGAGGGCAACCAGGGGAACCCGGUUAUUCUCAAUGGGCUCCAUUUUCACAUAAGCCAGGCUGGUGGUGAAGAUUUUUAUUCUUGGCCGGGUGCAGUGACUCACACUGUAAUCCCAGCACUUUGGGAGGCCGAGGCAGGUGGGUCACUUGAGGUCGGGAGUUCAAGACCAGCCUGACCAACAAGGCAAAAACCCUUCUCUACUAAAAAUACAAAAAUUAGCCAGGCGUUGUGGUGCAUGCCUGUAGUCCCAGCUGCUUGGGGGACUGAGGCAGGAGAAUCGUUUGAAUCUGGGAGGCAGAGGCUACAGUGAGCUGCGAUGGCACCACUGCACCCCCCCCUGGGCAACAGAGCAAGGCUCUGGCUCAAAAACAAAAAACAAACAAACAAACAAAACCUGACAUGGGACUGUGAAUAUUCUAGUAUUGAAUAAAUGAGGGAUAAAGAGAUGGAUGGGUGGAUGCAUGGACAGAUGAAUGAAUGAAUGAAUGAAUGGAAUGACAGCUGGAUGGGUGAUGGAUGGACGGACAGAUGGACAGAUGGCUGGGUCAUGGAUGGAUGGACAGAUGGAUGAGUGAGGGAUGGAGAGAUGAUGGGUGAGCAGAUAGAUGGGCAGAUGAAUGGAUGGAUGGAUGGAUGGAUGAACAGACAGAUGAAUGAGUGGGUAGAAAGAUGGAUGGAUGGACAGAUGCAGAGGCAGACCAUGGGUGAAUGGAUUAAUGAAUACAUGAAUGAGUGAACAGGUGGAUAGAUGGAUGAAUGGAUGGAUGGGUGGGUGCAUGGAUGGAUAAGUGAUAAGUACAUCAUUACCUGUUCUUUUGUCUGAGCUUUCUGUACCACAUCUCGCCCAACCUUGAUACGAGGAGUGAGGAUGGAUCUGGUGAAAUCUGUCACAUUAAUUCCCAUGAGGUGGCAAACUUUCUGAGCAGCUGGAUGGAGAAAAGAAACAUCACACAAAUACCGAACAAAAGAGGACAGAUGGAAACAAGAACAUACUGUCUAAGUCCAUAUAUAGACCGUCCAUUCAAGAAGAGGCAAAACUAAUCGAUGCUGUUAGAAGUCAGGAUAAUGAUUAUCCUUAAUUGAGGGAAGUUCUUAGAAGGUGCAUGUGGGAGCUUCCAUGGGGCUGGUGGCAUUGUCUUAUUUAAAAUGGAUUCUAGUUACACAGACGUGUUCAGUUUAUAAUAAUUCUUUGCACUGCACGCUAUGGCAUACACAAUUUUCUC